rnacentral:lncRNA from 1 species
AAGUGCUAUACUCCUACAACAACGGCAAACAAUCAUGUGACAUGAGUUCGUUUUUUUUUUCUUCCUCUCUUUUGCGUGUGUACGCGUGUGCCGUCCGCCGCAUGUUGGAGCGGAGCAACCGACAGGAUGAUGGAGAGGCACUGCGCGGUUUGCGGCGUCGCGGGAGACGGCAGCCUUGUUUUCUGUUUGUUGGAUCGGAUGGGUUCCCCAGGCACAUGCAGCUGUAGGUGUAGUAGGUGCUGGUGCCUUUGCCUUGGAUCUCACGCCCCGUGGACCAGAUCUCGUCGCCGACCCGACCACCCAUGGCCUGACACGCACGACGAGCCGACCACCUCCGGCCUGUCUCCAGUGCAUGCGUGCGAUGAUAUUUUCUGCGGCGAA